rnacentral:SRP_RNA from 1 species
GCCUUGGAACAAUGUUCUCCUUACGAAUCGUGUCAGGUUCGGAAGAAAGCAGCACUAAGUAUGUGAGGGCAUGUGUUCCAAGUUACG